rnacentral:tRNA from 1 species
GGCGGCGUAGCUCAGUUGGUCUAGAGCAGAGGAAUCAUAAUCCUAAGGUCCGGGGUUCGAAUCCCUGCGCCGCUA